ACGAAGAGGUUAGGUACAUGUGUACCUACGUGGAAUAUAAUUGUGUAAUAUGACAAAUUAAAUUUCAUUUCGUAUGGCUCUAUAUUAAUUGAUCAUAAAUGAAGAAAUUAAAUUAUUUAGAACGAAAAAGGUGUUUUUAAAGUUUUUACCAUUAUUUAUAUUUUUAUUAGAAAUUAUUAUUAUUUAUAAUUUUUUCUUAUGUUAAAUGGAAGUUGAAUAUCUUUGAUUGUUCAAUUGGAUUCAAAGUAGACUUACAAUUCAUUGACGAAAUUGUAAAAUUUACAACGUGAACGGGCAUUGUUUUAUCAUCAAUAUUUGAACUAGUUCCUGAGUUGAAAAAUAAGAACAUAAUAUUCAUUACAAAGCUACGUGUAUUUUCUACACUUAUAAUAAUGUUUAUAUAUAUAUGUAUUUGUAACAAACUCAAAUCGUGCUUUUCGACACACGUACAGACACACAUUUUUUAACUACGCUGUUAAAUGACCAGUGAAAUAUUUAGCCAUCUCUUGAAAAAAAUGUUUUGCAUACUUGAUAUUAUUGUAAUUAAUCGAUUUCAUAUUUUAUAAAUAAUGAGCGAUAUUAGUAUA